AUGCAUGGACAGAUAUGUCCCCCAUGGAUCCCGGACUGAGAGACAGCGGGUGUGUAUCGUUAGGAAAGACAUGCAUCACGAUAUUUGACAUUGCAUCUCAUGGCAUUGCACAUUUUAUUAUUGAUGAACUUGAACAUGUGUUUUGCUGAUCUUGUGAUUGUUUCUCUGUGAAGUCUGUGAUUGUUGAAUAUUGAGUUGUUAUCGAGAAUGUGUAAACUGAUAGAGUGUGGUUAUUGAGUUGUGUGUUUGGUAAACUGUAACCUAUUAGACUGUAGCGUGGAGGUUUAGAUAUGGUGUAAGGAGUGCCCGUAUUUUGUUCACUUAACUUGUGUUUAGAGGUUUGCUUGUUGGGUACCGCGUGGUUUGGUACUCACCCCUUGCUUCUACAAAUUUUUGUAGGAUACGAGCCUGGAUCAUCGUGAUACUUGUCAUUCUUUUCGUUUCCGAGGCAUCUUGUGGAGGAUUGUGAGGUAGCUGCUUGUCAUCUCAGCGAACUUUCCUACUCCAGUUUAUGACUUUGUUUUUACUUGAAAGACAACUUCAUUUAGACUUCUAUUUUAUUCCAAUUCUAAUAUUUACAUUAGAGGCUUGUGCACGUGACAACCUGAUUUUGGGGAUUGGAUUAAUAUGACUUGGUUUCAUAAUAGGAAUUGUUGUUGGAUUGUCAUUUACUUCCGCACCUUGUUAGAUAUUUGGUUUUAAGCUGACUUGUCUUGGUGGGAUAAGACGAGUGCCAUCACACCCAUUUUUGGGUCGUGACAAAAUGGUAUCAGAGCCCCAGGUUCAUAGGUCUCACGUAUCUACAAGCCGAGUCUACGUAGAGUCUCAAGGGUCAGUACGGAGACGUCUGUACUAAUCUUUGAGAGGCUAUAAAGAUUACUAAGAAACUUCCUUUUGUUCAUUGUUUCUCAUCGUGCGUAGUUACCUUCGUUAGUACUGAGUUGUUGUAUACUCUUUUGACAGAUGACGAGGACUAGAACUAAUGUUACUGGUGGUAGAGGGGAGGCACUUCCCGAGGCAGUUGUUGAGGCCCUAGCUAGGGGUAAGGGUAGAUCUCGAGCUAGAGGUCGUGCUAGUAGUACGACAGUAGCCAGAGGUCGUGGACGUGGAGCAGCACCACUGAGAGGUAGUGCUAGAGAGGUCUCUACCGAACCUCAGAUUGAUGACAUAGAGGACCAGGUUCCUCCAGAUCCCGUAGUCACACCUUUGCUUCAGGAUACGCUAUUGAGGGUGUUAAGUGUGCUAGAGGGAUUUUCUCAGGGUGGUGGUGCAACUACCACACCACAUGACUCUCGUACUAGAGAGGGGGCUCAGACCCAAGAGCAGCAACAAGCUCCGGUUAAUCAGGAUGCGGUGGGGCAACUACCAGUAGAUCCCGCGGUUCAGAAUGAUAUUGCACCAGCAGUUGGGGGUCAAGUUGCAUCGAUGGUUGUUCUGACAGAGGAUGAGCAGCGUAGGUAUGAGAGAUUUCGAAAGAUGGACCCACCUCAGUUUCAGGGUGGGAAGAGCGAGGACGCUCAUGAGUUUCUAACUACCUGCCGAGAGUUACUAGAGGUGGUUGGAUUAGCUGAGUCACAUGGGGUUAGAUAUGCUACACUCCAGCUUCGUGGACCAGCGAGAGACUGGUGGAGGACUUAUUCGGGGGUUUUGCCAGUUGGAUCUCCUCCAGUGACUUGGGAGCAGUUUGCUAGUGCAUUCCAAGAUCGUUUUAUCCCAUGGAGCGUGAGAGAGGAGAGUCGCUUGAGGUUUGAGAGUUUAAGACAGGAUGGUUUAUCGGUUACAGAGUAUGAGGCGCGUUUUUGCUAAUUGUCUAGGCAUGCGUUGGCCAUUAUUCCGAAUGAGACAGAGAGGAUCCGCAGAUUUGUGAGGGGAUUGACUUUCUCUAUCAGGUCAGCUGUGUUUCGGGCAUCUAGGGAGGGGGCUUCUUUUCAGUCCAUUGUGAGCGCCGCCAAAGAGGCAGAAUUGAUGGAGAGAGAGGAGUUUGGGGACCCUAAAAGAGCCCGUAUAUCAGGACAGUUUCAUGGUGCCUCAUCUGGAGGUAGGGGAUCACAGAGAGUGAGUGGUUCUUUUCAGCAGCGGGGACCUAUUUAUGCAUCUAUGCCGACAUUUGAGGGUGGCCAGACAUCUAGGGGUUCUUAUAGCCCGGGUCAGAGCUCGUACGGUUCACAGCAGCGACCUACAGGGCGAGGAAAUUAUAGUGGGUUUUCAGGGUCCACACAACAGUUCCCAGGUCAGAGAUUUUGUUUUACUUGUGGAGAUCCCGAUCAUCUAAUGCGGCAGUGUACUUCACAAAGGGGUCGUGGUGGUCCUCGACCUAAUUCUUCAUUCCAGACUAGACCACCAGCACCACAGGGUAGAGGUCGUGGCAUAGUUCAGUCAGGUAGAGGUGAUAGAGUUUUUAGUAGUGGUGUUGCAGCUCAGCAGAGUGGGGGUAGAGGUACCACCCAGGAUGGAGGUGGACGAGGAGGCCACUGCUAUGCUUUCCCCGGGAGACCUGAGGCGGAGACCUCUGAUGCUGUUAUUACAGGUAUCAUCCCAGUAUGCCAUCGACCUGCGUCUGUGUUGUUUGAUCCAGGUUCUACAUUCUCUUAUGUGUCUACGUAUUUUGCUGCUAAAUUUGAUAUGAUAUGUGAUAGUAUGACUGUACCUAUUCGUGUUUCUACACCCGUGGGUAAACCCUUAGUGGUGGACCGAGUGUAUCGCUCCUGUCUUGUUUCUUUGGCUGGGUAUGACACUUGGGUAGACUUAAUCAUUCUGGGGAUGGUGGACUUUGAUGUUAUCUUGGGUAUGGAUUGGCUUUCUCCUUAUCAUGUUGUCCUUGAUUGUAAUGCUAAGACUGUGACUUUAGCUAUGCCUGGUGUUCCGAAGGUUGAGUGGAAGAGUGUUAGUGGUUCUUACCCUAGCAAGGUCAUCUCUUUUAUCCGUGCUCAGAGAUUGGUGGAGAGGGGGUGUUUGUCUUACUUAGCUUUUAUUCGGGAUACUAGCGUUGAACCACCUCCCAUGGAUUCUGUUCCCGUGGUUCAGGAGUUUCCCGAUGUAUUUCCUUCUGAUCUUCCAGUUGUUCCUCCCGAUAGGGAUAUCGAUUUCGCUAUUGAUUUGGAGCCGGGCACUAAGCCUAUUUCUAUCCCUCCAUACCGUAUGGCUCCAGCAGAGUUGAAAGUAUUGAAGGAUCAGUUGUAGGAUUUAUUGAGUAAGGGUUUUAUUCGCCCUAGUGUGUCACCUUGGGGUGCCCCUGUAUUGUUUGUGAAGAAGAAGGAUGGGACUAUGAGAAUGUAUAUUGAUUACAGACAGUUGAACAAAGUAACAGUUAAGAAUAAGUAUCCUCUUCCGCGUAUUGAUGACUUAUUUGAUCAGUUACAGGGAGCAUCAUUGUUCUCUAAGAUUGAUCUGAGGUCUGGGUAUCAUCAGUUGAAGAUUAGGGCAUCAGAUAUCCCUAAGACAGCUUUUCGGACCCGGUAUGGGCAUUAUGAGUUUCUAGUGAUGUCCUUCGGAUUGACUAAUUCCCCUGCAGCAUUCAUGGAGUUGAUGAAUGGGGUGUUUCGACCAUACCUUGAUUCUUUUGUGAUUGUUUUCAUCGAUGACAUCUUGGUUUACUCUAAGACUGAGGAGGACCAUGUCCGACACCUGAGGAUUGUACUUCAGAGAUUGAGAGAAGAGAAGUUGUAUGCCAAGUUCUCAAAGUGUGAGUUCUGGCUUACUUCUGUGACAUUCUUGGGAACGUGGUGUCCAAGGAGGGUAUUAGAGUAGAUCCGACCAAGAUAGAGGCAGUUAGAGGCUGGACGCGACCUACUUCACCUACUGAGAUUAGGAGUUUUGUGGGAUUGGCAGGCUAUUAUCGACGAUUUGUUCAGAGUUUCUCUACUAUUGCAGCUCCAUUGACUAGAUUGACUCGACAGGAUGUGAGUUUUCAGUGGUCUGAUGAGUGUGAGGAGAGCUUUCAAAAGCUCAAGACUUUGUUGAGUUCUGCUCCUGUGUUGACUCUACCUGAGGAAGGUGUAGACUUUACUGUGUAUUGUGAUGCUUCAGGAGUUGGUUUGGGUGGUGUGUUGAUGCAGAAGGGGAAAGUGAUUGCUUAUGCUUCUAGGCAGUUGAAAUCCCAUGAGAAGAACUACCCUACUCAUGAUUUGGAGUUGGCGGCUGUGGUAUUUGUACUUAAGUUAUGGCGUCAUUAUUUGUAUGGAGUGCAGUGUGAGAUCUUCACUGAUCAUCGGAGUCUUCAGUAUAUCUUUAGCCAGAGGGAUUUGAACUUGAGGCAACGAAGAUGGCUUGAGUUGCUGAAGGACUAUGAUGUGACCAUUCUGUAUCAUCUGGGGAAGGCCAAUGUUGUGGCCGAUGCUUUGAGUAGGAAGACUCAUAGCAUGGGGAGUCUUGCAUCUCUUAGUGUUAAGGAGAGACCAUUGGCUAGAGAUGUUCAAUUGUUAGCUAACAGUCUUGUCCGAUUACAGAUCUCAGAGGAGAGUGAUGGGAUGAUUGCUUUUAUUGAGGUUCGAUCUUCUUUAGUCGAGCAGAUUCGUGCACACCAGUUUGAUGACGAAAAAUUAUGUCUCAUUCGAGACAAAGUAUUGAGAGGGGAAGCUAAGGAGGCUGUCCUUGAUUCUGAUGGUGUCUUGAGGAUCGGAGGCAGGGUUUGUGUGCCCAAGACAGGCGAUUUGAUUAGAUUGAUCCUUGAGGAGGCCCAUUGUUCUCGAUAUUCUAUCCAUCCGGGAGCGGCGAAAAUGUAUCAUGAUCUGAGUCAGCAUUACUGGUGGUGUGGGAUGAAGAGAGAUAUUACAGACUUUGUUUUGAGGUGUUUGACUUGCCAGCAGGUCAAGUGUGAGCACCAGCGGCCUGGUGGUGUAUCUCAAAGGAUGCCUAUUCCUACUUGGAAGUGGGAGCGGAUUACUAUGGACUUUGUUGUGGGUUUGCCUACCACAGUGGGUGGUUAUGACUCUAUUUAGGUUGUUGUUGAUAGGCUGACCAAGUCUGCCCACUUCAUCCCGGUUCGGGUAAAGUAUACAGCAGAAAAGUUAGCCGAACUAUACAGUCAGAUUGUGCGACUAUAUGGAGUUCCUAUUUCUAUCAUAUCAGAUCGAGGUUCACUAUUUACUUCUCACUUCUGGAAGGCAUUACAACAUGGUCUGGGUACUCAGUUAGAUAUGAGUACGACAUUUCACCCUCAGACAGAUGGUCAAUCUGAGCGGACCAUUCAGGUAUUGGAAGAUAUGCUUCGAGCGUGUGUAAUCGAUUUUGGUGCAAGAUGGGAUCGACAUUUACCCUUAGCGGAGUUCGCCUAUAAUAACAGUUAUCACUCUAGUAUCCAAAUGGCCCCAUUUGAGGCAUUGUAUGGUAGACGGUGUAGAUCUCCUAUUGGUUGGUUUGAUUCGGACGAGAUGGACUCUUUGGAUACAGACUUGCUUAGAGAUGCUAUGGAGCAAGUCCGUAUGAUUCAGUAUAGAUUAUUGACAGCUCAGAGUCGACAGAAGAGUUAUGCAGAUCGGAGAGUUAGAGCCUUGGUGUUUAUGGAGGGUGAUCAUGUUUGGCUCCGAGUAUCACCCAUGAAGGGUGUAAUGAGGUUUGGAACGAAGGGCAAGCUUAGCCCUAGGUUCAUUGGACCUUUUGAGAUUUUGAGCCGAGUGGGAGAGGUGGCCUAUAAGUUGGCCUUGCCACCUAGUUUGUCGGCAGUUCAUCCUGUUUUCCAUGUCUCUAUGCUUCGGAAGUAUAUUCCGGAUGAAUCUCAUGUGAUUUCACUUGAUUCUGUGGAGUUGGGUCCAGACUUGACAUUUGAAGAGGAGCCUAUAGCUAUUUUGGAUAGGCAGGUUCGAAAGCUUAGAACCAAGGAGAUUGCUUCAGUGAAGGUGCAGUGGAAGCACCGAUCAGUGAGAGAGAUAACUUGGGAGACUAAGUCUGACAUGCGUGCCAGAUAUCCUCAACUUUUUGAAGCUUCAGGUACUUUCUUUUACUCUAUGUUCGAGGACGAACAUGGGUUUUAGUGGUGGAUAAUGUAAUGACCCAAAAGCUCCUCUUUAGUGUUUUGAAUAUUUGUUUAACUUAAGUGAAUUAACUAAUAAUUAAUGGACUAAAGUGUUAAUUUAUUUAAGACCUCAGAUUACUUGACCCAUACAAAUUAAAAUAAGUAGUGGGGUUUUGCACUUUUGAGGUAUAAUAUUAUUCUUCAAAGAAAAACUACCCUAAAGUGUGGGUCGUGCAGCAUCCAAAAAAAAAAAUAGGACUACCGUCGGCAAGCAUAAUCUCAAUCAUGUAAGUACCUGCUCAUAACAAAAUUUCGCAUUGCAAUAUACAUGAUUUAAAGCAAUGUCACAUGUAUAUUGAACACAAGUUGGAUAAUGGCUUUGUUUUUUUGUUAGCAUAUAUAGUUGACGGAACGGUAAUUUGUUAAUUGAUUUUAGAGUUGUGGAGAAACUAAACCUUAUCCAUUUUAUAAGUUAAUUAAUGUUUGAUGAGAAAAUCGGAGUGCACCGCCGACCGCCUAUAACACAGUUAUCGUUGGAGUUAUGGACAAUUAAGAGUUAUGGUCAAGAAUUGUAGGUAAAUUGGAAAAGACAAAAAUAGGAUGCUUAUUUGUGUGAUGCUGGCAAGGAUUGCCAUUAUAUAUAAAUAUAAUGUGAGGAUUAAAUGAAGUAAUGAUGAGGUAGUUAAUGAUUAAAUAAUAAUGAGUGAAAUAGAAGCAAAUAUGUAGAUAGUUUAGAUUCUAUUUGUUAUUCUGGAGCAAUUUGUCUAGUUUUAUUUUUAUUUUUAUUAUUUUUUUUGUUAGCAUAUAGUGAUUAAGGUUUUAAUAUAUAGAGAAAGGUAAUUAAAUAUUGGAAGUAUGAUAUUAUGUGGAUAUCAUUCGAAUUUAUAAUAUUGGAAAGUUAAAACUCAGUUCUAGGCUUGGAAUCGGAGAAUAUGAAACUUGACAUAUUAAUCGGAUCAAAACUUAUGAACAUGACUAUAGUUUUGGGUGAAUUUUUAAUUUAGGCUAGAUAUAUAGCAAUAUGGUUGUUGUAGUUUUGAAAGCUUAUUCUGACUAUGUACUUGAAUAGAUUCCAUUGAUUUGGAAGCUCAACGAAAAGGGAAGGCUCAAGUCCAAGAGUAAUUAUUCGAUUGGCUAAGGCAAGUGGAUUUCUAAACUCUUGUUAAGCGUAUGAAAUUCGUGUAUCUUCUUGUGUGGUGUUGAGAACGAUUUGGAGACUUGUUGCUUAUUUGUUAGCGUUGUAUUUCUUGUUGUAAAUUGUGUUUGGUUAUCAAAUGGUUAUCUCCUCCCUUUUCAUUUGAGCAUGUCAUUUGCAUUGUAUCUGAGACAUUGUUGUGGUAAGAGGAUGGUGUACUAUUUUCGAGGGUCGUAUCGCGCGCCGCGACGGAUAUUAUAUUUCAAGGGACGUAUCAUGCGCCGCGAAGGUUACUACUUAUCGAGGGUCGUGUCGUGCGCCGCGACAGAUGCAUGGACAGAUAUGUCCCCCAUGGAUCCCGGACUGAGAGACAGCGGGUGUGUAUCGUUAGGAAAGACAUGCAUCACGAUAUUUGACAUUGCAUCUCAUGGCAUUGCACAUUUUAUUAUUGAUGAACUUGAACAUGUGUUUUGCUGAUCUUGUGAUUGUUUCUCUGUGAAGUCUGUGAUUGUUGAAUAUUGAGUUGUUAUCGAGAAUGUGUAAACUGAUAGAGUGUGGUUAUUGAGUUGUGUGUUUGGUAAACUGUAACCUAUUAGACUGUAGCGUGGAGGUUUAGAUAUGGUGUAAGGAGU
rnacentral:lncRNA from 1 species